rnacentral:rRNA from 1 species
AGUGAACGCUGGCGGCAUGCCUUACACAUGCAAGUCGAACGGUAACAGGUCUUCAGAUGCUGACGAGUGGCGAACGGGUGAGUAAUACAUCGGAACGUGCCCGAUCGUGGGGGAUAACGAAGCGAAAGCUUUGCUAAUACCGCAUACGAUCUACGGAUGAAAGCAGGGGACCGCAAGGCCUUGCGCGAACGGAGCGGCCGAUGGCAGAUUAGGUAGUUGGUGGGAUAAAAGCUUACCAAGCCGACGAUCUGUAGCUGGUCUGAGAGGACGACCAGCCACACUGGGACUGAGACACGGCCCAGACUCCGACGGGAGGCAGCAGUGGGGAAUUUUGGACAAUGGGCGAAAGCCUGAUCCAGCCAUGCCGCGUGCAGGAUGAAGGCCUUCGGGUUGUAAACUGCUUUUGUACGGAACGAAAAGACUCUGGUUAAUACCUGGGGUCCAUGACGGUACCGUAAGAAUAAGCACCGGCUAACUACGUGCCAGCCGCCGCGGUAA